rnacentral:rRNA from 1 species
UACGGAGGAUGCGAGCGUUAUCCGGAUUUAUUGGGUUUAAAGGGUGCGUAGGCGGGAUGCCAAGUCAGCGGUAAAAACGCGGUGCUCAACGCCGUCGAGCCGUUGAAACUGGGUGCCUUGAGUGGGCGAGAAGUACGCGGAAUGCGUGGUGUAGCGGUGAAAUGCAUAGAUAUCACGCAGAACUCCGAUUGCGAAGGCAGCGUACCGGCGCCCAACUGACGCUGAAGCACGAAGGCGUGGGUAUCGAACAGG